UAGUGAGACAAACGUAACUGUUCUAGACGACAAAGAGCUAGAAAAUUAGCGCAAAAUCUUUGGUUUUCUAAUUUAAUUGGCAAAUUUCGUGGCGACAUAUUGCCACACACACAUAAAUACAUACAUAAGUCGUGCUGCAGCGAACGCCGAGAACUUACCGAACGCCCGCUAUCAAUUGAAAGCCACAACGGUCGGUCAUUUACAUGCGAUACUUUAUGGAAUAAUUGCAGAGGUUUCGAAGUGCAAGCGGCUGAUAAAAAGCGCAUACACAGAACGAGCGGAAAGUUAGCUGAAUUUAAGAAAAAUAAAGAGACACACGCACACAAACACAUAGACUUUCACACUUUCUUGUGCUGAGAAUAUACUUAUAUAAAAUAUAUGAAAUUAAUAUACGCAAAAACAAAAACAAUAAACGAGUGGCAACAAAAAAUUCUUUCAUCGUGACUGAAUUUCGCGAAAUCCAAUCAACUGUGCCCCCUCCGCCCAACCUCCUUGCCUGCCAGAACAAAAUCAGUAAAUCAGGCUAAUCUGCGGGUCGCCACGUUUAGUGGUCUGUUAGCUCAUCGAAAUUUUGGUGUUCGAGACGAGUGGUAUAAAAUCGCUGCGCUUGGCCGUUAGGCUUUCACAAAAGCAAUAAAAGAACUCCGCGCAGCAGUAGCCACAAGCGAGCCAAAGGAAACGUAGUUAGAGUCAAUAUAAGUAAAAAAAAAUUAAUUGAAAUUUCAAAAGUGUUUUGAGUGGUGUUAAGUGAAAUUGCAGUAACUUUCUAAAUUAAUGGAAAUCCCAUUUGCGCGGCCAUACAAAUUGAUUUUGGCACAAAUAAAAUAUCUGAAAUUGCCAGCAACGCGCGCCCAACAUAGCGAGUGAUGAAACUUUAGAAAAUUCAGAAGUCGAAAAUCAAAUAGCGAACAGCAAAUAAAACACUACAACAAGUCGAAUUCGCGCUGAAUUACAACAAAUCUGUUACAAGUGUGGAGAGCACGUGGAAAUCGUGAAAACUUUCAAAAAACGCGGAGAUCGUUCCUACCUAACCCAAAACAGCAGUAUUUUAGCUUUUACACGAUAAAAUAAAAAA